AUUGAACGCUGGCGGCAUGCUUUACACAUGCAAGUCGAACGGUAACAGGCCGCAAGGUGCUGACGAGUGGCGAACGGGUGCGUAAUGCAUCGGAACGUGCCCAGUCGUGGGGGAUAACUACUCGAAAGAGUAGCUAAUACCGCAUACGAUCUAUGGAUGAAAGCGGGGGACCGUAAGGCCUCGCGCGAUUGGAGCGGCCGAUGUCAGAUUAGGUAGUUGGUGGGGUAAAGGCUCACCAAGCCAACGAUCUGUAGCUGGUCUGAGAGGACGACCAGCCACACUGGAACUGAGACACGGCCCAGACUCCUACGGGAGGCAGCAGUGGGGAAUUUUGGACAAUGGGCGCAAGCCUGAUCCAGCAAUGCCGCGUGCGGGAAGAAGGCCUUCGGGUUGUAAACUGCUUUUGUACGGAACGAAACGGCUCUGGUUAAUACCCGGGGCUAAUGACGGUACCGUAAGAAUAAGCACCGGCUAACUACGUG
rnacentral:rRNA from 1 species